UUUAUUAUUGAAUUUUAUAGCUUUUUUUAUAAUUUACAGAAAAUUAUGAAUCCUGCCAUGAGGGAAGCACUGCGUGAUGCAAACUGGGAAUUGCGAGUUAGCCGGAACACCGACCGGCUGUACAAUAUUUACAUUAGGUGGAAGGACGAAGAAGCUGAAGCCAUGAAGGGGUUCGAUAUCUUCGGUGUAGCGAUGCUACACUAUAACGCCGAGAACUGGCGUCGUCAAUAGCUGUGGGAGCAAGAGUCCUACAAUCUGUAGGCAAUGCCCAUUGGAAGGCGGCGGAAAGACGACGACGAUGAAAAAGAUGAGGGGAGGCAAUCUUCCAAGUGUUACGUCCAGCUAAAAAUUUAGCCGACGACCAGAUUUUACUUUUUCUAUUUAUAAAAUUCGGAAUGCUUUUAAAAAGAUUAGACUUGUUUGUUUUGACAUUUGUUGAAAUGCUAGAGCAAACAACUAAAUGUAAUUUUUAUGACCCUUCAGGUAAUUGUAAAGGCCCAGAGGCUAUUUGGAAACACUUUAAACAAAAAAUAUAUAUAUUUAAAAAAAUGUUUAUCAACAAAACCGUACGUGGCGUAGGUAAGAGGUAAAUAAAUUUUAGUUGUAAUAAACAAUCUUUACACAAUCUAAAUCCCUUACUUUCACUUUAAGUGCACUUUUGUUGAAAUAUUUUAUCAUAGAAUAAAUAGACAAAAUUAGAGACGGACACAAAAUCCUAUGACGUAGAGGUCAUUAAGGAAAUAAAAAUUAAACAUUAACAGAAAAUGUUAACUAAUAAGAAUGUUUAAAUGUUAGAAUUUUGCAACAAAUUAUUCAAAAUAUUGAUUAACUAUCAGGUUGCAAAAUAUAAUCAAAUCAUUAACACCAACAAAUAAAUUUGAAUUUGGUAGCAAGUAAAUUUUAAGUAGAUUCUGAUUUGAAAUUUAAUAAUAACUAAAUCUAAAUUUUAUCAUAAAUAAACUACAAUAAAUUUAAGUUGUUUUAACAUAAAUAGAUUUGAAAUUCAACAGUAACUAAAUCUAAAUUUUAUAAUAAACAAAACUACGAUGAAUUUAAGUUGUUUUAACAUAGCUAAAUUUGAAAUUCAAUAAUAACUAAAUAUAAAUUUUAUAAUAAAUAAACUACUGUUACGUCCCAGCCUGCUCGUCAGAUGUCUCUGACUAUUUUUAAAUACUAAUUAUUAAGAGACCGAUCUGAGACCUAACUAAUUAAUUAAGAUGUAUAUUGAUAAUUUAGCAAGUUGCAUAAUUAAUAAGUUACUCUAUAUUAUAGGAUAUAAUAUAAUGUAAUAAUAUAGCAUAACAUAAUAAUAUAAAAUAAUAUGAUAUUAUUUAGAAUAUUUGAAACAUAUUGAUAAAGUUAUUUUUCUCUUAAUAUUUGUUAUGUAUAAAUAAACGCUGACGCCUCGAGUAAAUCCUCGAGACGUGCAGCUGCACAAACAUCUAUUUUGUUCUAAGAUAACUUUUGUUCAUAGAUAAGUGACUCAUUUGUUAAUAAUAAAAACGGAGAAAGCGUGAGAACGGAGAAUGGAUCAUUCGAGAAUAUUGCUUAUCACGAUCCACCCCUCUAUAUCGAACGAUGCGCGGGCCUGAUGCCCAAGCGCCUCGUAUUGAUAAGAGACUUACUC